rnacentral:rRNA from 1 species
UACGAAGGGGGCUAGCGUUGCUCGGAAUCACUGGGCGUAAAGCGCACGUAGGCGGACUUUUAAGUCAGGGGUGAAAUCCUGGAGCUCAACUCCAGAACUGCCUUUGAUACUGGAAGUCUUGAGUCCGGAAGAGGUAAGUGGAACUGCGAGUGUAGAGGUGAAAUUCGUAGAUAUUCGCAAGAACACCAGUGGCGAAGGCGGCUUACUGGUCCGGUACUGACGCUGAGGUGCGAAAGCGUGGGGGAGCAAACAGG